UAAUACUUUGAAUGAUCCAUUACAAAAGUUAGACACUGCGAUUCUGCCAAAUUAACCAAUAAUAAAAAAUUGCACUUAGAUAUGUUGUGUGAACUCACCAGAUAACCUUCUAUAAAAGUGUAAAUAACUUAGAUCUUGCUGUCUCAGUUGUGGCCAAAACCUCAACAAAAGGAUGUUAAUCACACAAAUUUGUUGGUUCAUGCUUUUCAUAAUAUUGUCUUUCAUAUGUGUUCACCGUUUUGUCAUUGAUUAAAACCUGCAAGAUACAAACCAAAAGACUUAAAAGCUUUUCUGAAGUCUGCAAAAUGAUAAUUCCACUACAUAAUCAAGUGUAACAUUAAAAGAAAAGAGGACUGUAUAUCAUACUUGGAUUCAAAAGUUUCUCUCCAUAAUUUUAGAAUUUACUUCUUUGUACUUAUCAUUUAUAAAUAUCAUAAGAAAGCAUAACUGAAUCACUAGCUCCUGAAAAUGCAAAGUACCUUCAGCACUAGGUAAAAACGGUAUUUACUUAAAUGAAGCCAACAAAUUACUUAGCCAAAUAUGUAACAUAUCCACCAUACAUAAUGUAAUAUCGUAUCAUUAGAAUUAUAUAUAAAACUGGCUGCGAGAGUCACCAUUCAUAUGUUGAUCAAAUCAUAACCUUCGAGGUCACCCUAAAUGGGUUCCGCCUACAAAGAAGUUAUCAAAAAACGUAAAAUAAGUAUACAAGUAUAAAGAUAAAUGAAAAAUUAACAUAAAUCAAUAAUGUACCUCGGACAUCUAGAAAAAUGCCCUGCAUCCAGCUGCCCAACAACCUGCUUCCCUCAUCAUACAGCACCACAUCUCGCUGCCAUGGUAUUGUAGCAUCAUCAUAUAGUGGUGACUCAACAGCUGAUGCAUGUGCAUGGUUAGCUACCAGUUUCACCUUAUGCGGCAAAAUCAUCUGAUUCUUCUAAGGUAGAAUAUUGGCCUGUCUGUUAUCUUUAGGAAGCAUGAUCGUUCAAAAAAAAUAUGCAAGAGAUAUAUUAAUUAAUAAACAGAAGCUUAAGGGCUCAAGCAUACAGUAAGUAGUGGCAUAUAAGUUAGAACUUCUACCAUUUCUCCAACCAAAAUAGAAACACAAAAUUCAACCUGUGUCAAUUACUCAAUUUCAUAUCAUCUUUCUCAAUGUCAAUAUACAAAGGAGAUACAAUAAACAAAACAUCAAGGGCUGAAGCACAGCAACAAGUAGUAGCAUAUAAAUUAGGACUUGAACCAUUUCUCCAACCAAAAUAGAAACACAAAAUUCAACCUUUGUGUUAAUUGCAUCUCGUCAUUCUCAAUUUCAAUAUGUAAAAGAGAUAUACUAAUUCUAUAGAUGACACUACAAGUUUUCAUUUAAAAAACAAUUACAGCAAUUCAAAUAUAAGAGAGUAAGUUGAUGGAAAAUACCUGCAAUUGUAUAAAAAUUGAAAUGAACAACUACAGAAGAUAAAGUAAUAAUUUGAUCGUGUAUUGCUAUCAGCCUAAGCCACAAGGCUUACCUCACACAGAAGAUACUAGGUGACCCUUUUUCUCAUUCUAUAACAGAAAACUUAGAUAAUAAACUCUCUCUACACUCUCCCAUUUUAUAUCAACUUACUCAUGCUUCUCCCUUCCCUGUGCCAGCUCAACACCUUUCAUUCCCUUGUGUUUUCUAGUGUACACUCUCCAAAACUUGAGCUUGUUUUCCUCAGAACCCAAUACAUCAGGGCCCGAUGCUGCAUCUACCACAUUCCUAUCAUCAUUCAAUUACUUGAAUCUAAAAAUUAAAUACAUAGAUUUUCCUACCUGGUCUAAGCCUCAAAAUGAGUCAAAUAAGUAAUCUGAGCAACAUGUAAGUUGGGGAUAAAAACUGAGAUUCUAAUUUAUUGGUUACAUCACUAUUUGCAUCACUACCAAAUACCCAUUCCAAAGAAAGAAUAAUAUACCACACAAAGGGAAGUACUGGUGUGUGGUGGAAGAAGGAGCAUAUCAAAUGGAAUUGGAAGCAAUUUUAUUUCUCCUACGUCUUAUGCCUGCAAUGUAGCAAACAUGACUUAUGAACCAGUUUCAGCCACUGAUCAUGCAAGUUACGUUUUUAGCACCUAUUGGGAUAAAUUUAAAAGUAAUAGAGCCACUUGCUAAUAAUUUCACUCUUUAGGUUAUACAUACAAUUUCAUAAAGUAAUAAUUUGAGAUUUCCUUUCAAUCAAUAACUUAAUGUAAUUCUUCACAAAACAGGUUGAGCUUCUUGCCGAUUUUAAUUAUCUAGAGACCAUUGUUGUCAGAGCAUCAAUGCAAGGAUUCUUAAGCUUCGACUUUCAAUUAUCUUUAAAUUUCAAGAGAUAUCGUCAACGUCAUUUAAAUAUUCUAUGUUAUUACAUGGCUAUGUCAUUCUCUCUUAGAUUGAAUUUGUAGCACUAACCAAAGUGGGGGAUAAAGAGGAUCACAAAAGAAACAGAGAGACAGAGAUAGCAGCGGAAAAUAUGAUUAAUGAGAUCACUCAAAAACCAUUAAAACCACGCCUUAUGUCACAAGCUUGUAUCUAAACCAAGCAAUUUUCCCACAAAUUCACAAAAAUAAAGGAUUUCAUAACAAGUAGAUACUACAAAUUUCUUAAUUCAUAACUCAUUUUCAUAAAUGAAUUUUUUUUUCUCUUAAACGAAUCUUAAAAGGAAACGAAGGGGUUCAACAACAUAUUUUUGCAAUCAUGGAUAUCAUUCACUCUAAAGAAAAUUUUCAAAUUACCAAGUUCCAACAUUCAACAACAGUAUAAAAGGAACCAUCAACUUCGAAUUAAAUUAUCUCCUUUCUUUUCUUCAUGAAUUUGUAAAAGAUGAAUACAAUGGUAUAGGAACCGUAGCAGAUGGAUACAUUACCUGGAGUGUACGAGAACGAUAACUGUUUUCGAGAUGGAGAAUGAGAGACAUGAUACAGAGAGAUCGUUGCGAGUGAUGGAGACGGUGACAGUGGAGAAUGACGAGAGGCGAGAGAUAGUGGCAGAUUGUUCGAAGACGUUGAAAGUGGAGAAUGUCGAGCGGUGAGAGACGGUUCUAGUUCGUUAAGACGGUGAGAUGAGAGGGUACUGAUACUGAGAGAGACGGUGGGGUUUCUCGGUGUUUUAUGUCUUUACUGUAUUUUUA
rnacentral:lncRNA from 1 species